CACAGACGCUCGCGAGCAACCCUCCGCGCUCCGGAGCCUCCUCAGCCUCCCGCACACCCCGAGACGCUCGCCCCGCUGGGCCUCGGUCCCCGCCUCCUCCCCCGUCCUUUUCCCCUCUCUCGCUCCCCACAUUGUCUCUGCCUCAUUUUCUCUCCUAGUUGAGGAUUAAAAAAAAAAAAAAAUCACCAUCAUCCUCAGGGAGCCCCCUCGCCCUCGGAAAACAAAACCAGACAUGAUCCUGGGCUCCUGCUUCUGAAAGAUCUGCCCGACCGAGGAGGAGGGAGCCUAGGUUCAAGUCGCAGGAAAGGUCACGGCAGGGAAGCCCCCUCAGCCCCUCCGCGUCGCCUCCCCGCGGGCCGCCCCUCUCGGCCCUGCGCCCCGCGGCCCCGCAGCCUCCGCGCGGCCUCCCGCCCCAUCCCCGCCACUUUCCCCGGAGCUGGGCCGCGAACACCUCACUAUUGAUGGUGUAGCGCUUUAGGGGAACAUUUUUGAAACGUUGGGGUUGUUGGAGUGGUUGGAUUUUCCCUGGAAUUGAGUGAGAAAUUCAGAAGACUGAAGCCCAGGCUUACUGUCUACCUUUCACGGAGGCCUAGCCGUGAGAGGACAGAAGAAGGCACGUGGCGAAUCAUGACAGCGGACAAAGACAAAGACAAAGACAAAGAGAA
rnacentral:lncRNA from 1 species